GGGCAGCACGAUGUAGCAUACAUUGGUGGCGACCGGCGCACGGGUGAGUAACGCGUAUGCAACCUACCUAUCAGAGGGGAAUAACCCGGCGAAAGUCGGACUAAUACCGCAUAAAACAGGGGUUCCACAUGGAAAUAUUUGUUAAAGAAUUAUCGCUGAUAGAUGGGCAUGCGUUCCAUUAGAUAGUUGGUGAGGUAACGGCUCACCAAGUCCACGAUGGAUAGGGGUUCUGAGAGGAAGGUCCCCCACACUGGUACUGAGACACGGACCAGACUCCUACGGGAGGCAGCAGUGAGGAAUAUUGGUCAAUGGGCGAGAGCCUGAACCAGCCAAGUCGCGUGAAGGAUGAAGGAUCUAUGGUUUGUAAACUUCUUUUAUAUGGGAAUAAAGUGAGGAACGUGUUCCUUUUUGUAUGUACCAUAUGAAUAAGCAUCGGCUAACUCCGUGCCAGCAGCCGCGGUAAUACGGAGGAUGCGAGCGUUAUCCGGAUUUAUUGGGUUUAAAGGGUGCGUAGGUGGUUAAUUAAGUCAGCGGUGAAAGUUUGUGGCUCAACCAUAAAAUUGCCGUUGAAACUGGUUGACUUGAGUAUAUUUGAGGUAGGCGGAAUGCGUGGUGUAGCGGUGAAAUGCAUAGAUAUCACGCAGAACUCCGAUUGCGAAGGCAGCUUACUAAACUAUAACUGACACUGAAGCACGAAAGCGUGGGGAUCAAACAGGAUUAGAUACCCUGG
rnacentral:rRNA from 1 species